rnacentral:rRNA from 1 species
AUUGAACGCUGGCGGCAUGCUUUACACAUGCAAGUCGAACGGCAGCGCGGGCUUCGGCCUGGCGGCGAGUGGCGAACGGGUGAGUAAUACAUCGGAACGUGCCCAGUAGUGGGGGAUAGCUCGGCGAAAGCCGGAUUAAUACCGCAUACGUCCUGAGGGUGAAAGCGGGGGAUCUUCGGACCUCGCGCUAUUGGAGCGGCCGAUGGCAGAUUCGCUAGUUGGUGGGGUAAAGGCGUACCAAGGCGACGAUCUGUAGCUGGUCUGAGAGGACGACCAGCCACACUGGGACUGAGACACGGCCCAGACUCCUACGGGAGGCAGCAGUGGGGAAUUUUGGACAAUGGGCGAAAGCCUGAUCCAGCAAUGCCGCGUGUGUGAUGAAGGCCUUCGGGUUGUAAAGCACUUUUGGCGGGAACGAAAAGGACUGUGCCAAUACCACGGUUCGAUGACGGUACCCGCAGAAUAAGCACCGGCUAACUACGUG